GACGAACCGUGCGAACGUUGUUCGGAUUCACUGGGCUUAAAGGGCGCGUAGGCGGACUCGCCAGUCUGUGGUGAAAGCCCCCAGCUCAACUGGGGAAGGGCCGUGGAUACUGCGAGUCUGGAGGAGGGUAGGGGCAUCUGGAACGCUGGGUGGAGCGGUGAAAUGCGUUGAGAUCGGAAAGAACACCAACGGCGAAAGCACUCUGCUGGGCCGACACUGACACUGAGAGACGAAAGCUAGGGGAGCAAAUGGG
rnacentral:rRNA from 1 species